GAUGAACGCUGGCGGCGUGCCUAAUACAUGCAAGUCGAGCGAAGCGGGGACGGGUGAGUAAUGCGUGGAUAACCUCCUAUAAGACUGGGUUAACUUCGGGAAACCUGACCUAUACCCGUAACUUAUCAAUGGAUCCGGGUUGCAUUAUCUAGUUGUUAAGGUAACGGCUGACCAAGGCUACGAUGCAUAGUCGACCUGAGAGGAUGACCGGCCACACUGGAACUGAGACACGGUCCAGACUCCUACGGGAGGCAGCAGUAGGGAAUAUUCCGCAAUGGGCGAAAGCCUGAUGGAGCAACGCCGCGUGAGUGAUGAAGGUCUUCGGAUCGUAAAGCUCUGUUAUGAGGGAAGCGGUACCUACUCAGAAAGCAACGGCUAACUACGUGCCAGCAGCCGCGGUAAUUC
rnacentral:rRNA from 1 species